rnacentral:rRNA from 1 species
UACAGAGGGGGCAAGCGUUGUUCGGAAUUACUGGGCGUAAAGGGCGCGUAGGCGGCCUUCUAAGUCGAACGUGAAAUCCCCGGGCUCAACCCGGGAACUGCGUCCGAUACUGGAAGGCUUGAAUCCGGGAGAGGGAUGCGGAAUUCCAGGUGUAGCGGUGAAAUGCGUAGAUAUCUGGAGGAACACCGAUGGCGAAGGCAGCUCUCUGGGCCCGGAAACUGACGCUGAGGUGCGAAAGCGUGGGGAGCGAACGGG